UACAGAGGUCUCAAGCGUUGUUCGGAUUCAUUGGGCGUAAAGGGUGCGUAGGUGGCGGGGCAAGUUUGGUGUGAAAUCCCGGGGCUCAACCCCGGAACUGCACUGAAUACUGCCUUGCUAGAGCACUGGAGAGGGAACUGGAAUUUACGGUGUAGCAGUGAAAUGCGUAGAUAUCGUAAGGAAGACCAGUGGCGAAGGCGAGUUCCUGGACAGUUGCUGACACUGAGGCACGAAGGCUAGGGGAGCAAACGGG
rnacentral:rRNA from 1 species